rnacentral:misc_RNA from 1 species
GGGACCUUCCAAGUCUC